UACGUAGGGUGCAAGCGUUAUCCGGAAUUAUUGGGCGUAAAGAGCUCGUAGGCGGUCUGUCGCGUCUGCUGUGAAAACCCGAGGCUCAACCUCGGGCCUGCAGUGGGUACGGGCAGACUAGAGUGCGGUAGGGGAGAUUGGAAUUCCUGGUGUAGCGGUGGAAUGCGCAGAUAUCAGGAGGAACACCAAUGGCGAAGGCAGAUCUCUGGGCCGUAACUGACGCUGAGGAGCGAAAGCAUGGGGAGCGAACAGG
rnacentral:rRNA from 1 species